rnacentral:tRNA from 1 species
UAAAGGUAAUUUUUAAUAUAUUAUUUAUUUACAAUAAAUAAGACCUGUUAAAUUCGGGGCUUUUAA